CGAGGGGCGGGCCAGGCGGUGCGGGAAAUCGUGAGGUGGGAGGGUUGGCCGGAAUUAUGGGGCGGAAAGGGCUCGUAGGCGGGGGGUCGCGUCGGCCGUGAAAAGUUGCAGCUUAACUGGGGGCGGGCGGUCGAUAUGGGCAGCACUGGAGUUCGGCAGGGGAGACUGGAAUUCCUGGUGUAGCGGUGAAAUGCGCAGAUAUCAGGAGGAACACCGGUGGCGAAGGCGGGUCUCUGGGCCGAUACUGACGCUGAGGAGCGAAAGCGUGGGGAGCGAACAGGAUUAGAUACCCCAGUAGUC
rnacentral:rRNA from 1 species